AGUGUCUAAUUUGUAGAAAAAUGCUUCUUUCUAAGUGUUUCUGUUGUAUUCUAUAUUCAGGUACUACUGGAAUAAAAGCAUGAACUUAUUUUAAUUUGAGAUCUUUGGAGUGGAAGUAGUUUACAAUCUCCUGUCCCCAUGUUUCAUGGUAGAAUACAAAAGAGAUCAGAAAAGAUUACUGGAUGGCAGUAUGACACAGUAAAAAGACACUUGAGGACUUAGGCCGUACGUAGACUUAGGUUUGCUACCAUUAGUUGUGUUAUCUUGGACAAGUCAUUUGGUUGACUUUAGCCUCUCUUUCUCCAUCUGUAAAAUGAGGUCAUCAUAUUAUAUAUUCCAAAAGUUUGCUACCAGAAUCAUGGUUUUUCAAGUUCCAUUAGUGGACUCCUGAAUCAGCAGGUUGCACUAAGUGCAUUCGAAAAUGACUCCUUGUUUCUGGAUUUCCAGGCUUGUCUCAUGCCCAUCACUCAAGGAUGUCCAGGGUCUCCUCCUUCCAUCUCUACCAGGGUCAGAGGCUGGUAGGUGGGCCCCCAGAGGAUAUGGCAUCAGUGAGAUAAGAACCUGGUCCUCCCAAGUGGCAAGUCAUGUUCACUGUGCUAAUGGGUCUCCAGAGUCCAGCCCUGGCUGUGGGUGUAAUCAGGAGGCAGCUCCUUCCUGUCUAGGCAUCCUGGGCUUCCUUGUGCACCACAAAGGGGCUUUAAGGGUAGACUCUUGGCUAGAAGUAGCAGAGAGGGAGAAACCGUGAUUUGCUGAAGGUCUGUGUUGGUGGUAACAGUUAAAUCCCUUGACUGGAGAUUUUCUUCUUCCAGCUCUUUGCUAGGUCUGCUGGGCUAAUCCUCUAACCUGUUUGCUCUGUAGAAAAUCCCUAAGGGUUUUCUCUCCUGAUCACCUGCCUCUCUCUGUUGAUACAUUUGUUUUGAACAAUACAUUUGAAUACAUUUGUUCUGACCUCUAGGAAAGGAUUACAGAGGCUGUAAGGAGGAAGCUGUGAGUUGAUAUCACUGAACUUGAGCUUCAUCUGUCCAUCUAGCCACAACCAGGUACUAGGGAUUUUUUUUCUUUCUUUUAAAUGAAGAGGAGGAAGAAACAAGGAGGAGCCAACUGAAAAAAUAACCAGAAAAAUAGCUUGUGAGGUUCGACUGAGGCUGGAUUCUUCGAUGGAGGUGUGCCUUUCUGAAAAGGCUGGGUGGUCUAGGGACAGGGGACCAGAGUGGCCUGAUGCCUGCUAAGUAUUCCUCUGCUUUCUCCCCCGAACUUUGCAGAUGAGGACAUCCAGGUCUCUGUCUAAGGUAAUAAGAUGAGGCAGUGAAUCUUGAAAUUCUGCUCUAACUAGCCCUAAAUGGGGGACCAGAUCUGGUCAUAUUUAGCUUUCAAAGUGAAGAGGCAUGUUGUACCCUGGAGCAUGUGCAUGUUGGGGUCCGGCCUACUGCAAUGAGAAUGCAAAUCAGGGAAGGGGGAAAGCAGAAUGCCCAGGAAGAGGACAUGGAUGUGGGACAGGCAGUUGGAGAUUCCACCUUUCUGUGUUCCUCUUUCCUUCACCCUGAUGUGGAGGUCACAUGAUCAGGUCAGUGUGACCCGUAAUGGGAAUGUGCUCCUGCUUGGCUGGGUUCAUGAACCAUCUCUUUACUUCCCCAGCACCUAAAAUAUCAUCCUUGAGUAGAGAUUCAUUUAUUUGGACAGAUAAUUCCUUUUCCUGGCAUUCUUUUUGAAAACUUAGUGGCGUUUGAGAUGGGAUUCUUGUGUGUGAAUUAAGCAAUUAGGAAGCUUUCCUUCCGAAAAUAAGUGCCAGGGUGCAGGAGAGCUGCACUGACACACAAGGUGACACCUGGGGACCCCUAUGUGAGACAUCCAGAGGGACUGACUGCUUUUGAUGUUCCAGGAUUGGCAUAUCAUGUAGGGCCUAAUGUUCAUUGCCAUAGAAUCUUGUGGGAGGAGAUAAAUAAUUCAUAAAAAGAAUGGCAGCUAUUAUGAAUACAAACAACAAUAAGUGUUGGUGAGGAUGUGGGGGAAAAGGUACACUCAUACAUUGCUGGUGGGACUGCAAAUUGAUGCAGCCAUUAUGGAAAACAGUAUGGAGAUUUCUUGGAAAAUUAGGAAUGGAACCACCAUUUGACCUUGCUAUCCCUCUCCUCGGGCUACACCCAAAGGACUUAAAAACAGCAUAUUACAGGGACACAGCCUGUAAUGUUUAUAGCAGAACAAUUCACAAUACCUAAACUGUGGAACCAACCUAGAUGCCCUUCAAUAGAUGAAUGGAUAAAAUGUGGCAUAUAUACACACUGGAAUAUAACUAAGCAAUAAAAAGAAUAAAAUCAUGGCAUUUGUAGGUAAAUGGAUGGAGUUAGAGAAGAUAAUGCUAAGUGAAGUUAGCCAAUCCCCCAAAACCAAAUACUGAGUGUUUUCUCUGAUAUAAGGAAGCUGAUUCAUAGUGGAGUAGGGAGGGGGAACAUGAAAGGAAUAGACAAACUCUAGAUA
rnacentral:lncRNA from 1 species